UACGGAGGGAGCUAGCGUUGUUCGGAUAUACUGGGCGUAAAGCGCACGUAGGCGGCGCAGCAAGUCAGGGGUGAAAUCCCGGAGCUCAACUCCGGAACUGCCCCUUGAAACUGCAGUGCUAGAAUUCUGGAGAGGCGAGUGGAAUUCCGAGUGUAGAGGUGAAAUUCGUAGAUAUUCGGAAGAACACCAGUGGCGAAGGCGACUCGC
rnacentral:rRNA from 1 species